GACAGAGGUGCCAAGCGUUAGGCGGAAUCACUGGGCUUAAAGCGUGUGUAGGCGGACUUCUAAGUACCUUGUGAAAUCCCCCGGCUCAACCGGGGAACGGCUGGGUAUACUGGGGGUCUCGAGCCAGCUAGGGGUCGCCGGAACAAGUGGUGGAGCGGUGAAAUGCGUAGAUAUCACUUGGAACGCCAACGGUGAAAACAGGCGACUGGGGCUGUGCUGACGCUGAGACACGAAAGCCAGGGGAGCGAACGGG
rnacentral:rRNA from 1 species